rnacentral:lncRNA from 1 species
CUUUCUCGGCAGCGCCGUAGAGCGCGAGCAGACGGUGCAGCAUGGCGCACAGCGGAGGCCGCGGGCGGCCGAACCCGGCGUGUCCUUGGGCGUUUCCAGGUGCAACAAAACCUGCUCAUUUGAAGGUGCUUGAACAAAUAUUUUCUAAACACUUGUCAUGGAGAGUGAUUGAAACAAGCUGCCAGGACUACAUUUGCCAAUAACAAGGUGGCUGUAGUGGAUGUCCAACUUUGGGAGCUGUGAUGUCUAAAAACCCUUUAUUGUUUUGGCUUACAUAUUGGAAGGUAAAAUGAAGGCCAUGAACAAAGUCAAGAAGCCAUAAACAGAAGCAAAUGGUGAAAAUUAAUAUCUAAUUUAAUAUUAAUAAGUUAUAUAUAAAUAAACAGUUAUUCUUAAUUGC